rnacentral:lncRNA from 10 species
AGACCGGAUGUGGCUGUGCUUCAGACCGCGCGGGAAGUCCUGGGAUGGCGUGGAGCCCGCUUCAGCUGAAGGGACAGAGGGAGAGGCAGGGGCCAGACAGCGCCAACCACCUGAGACCCAGCCUCCCAGCAAGGUUGUGGCCCGCAGCGGACGCUCCCCACGAGGUAGAGCCCCGUUUCCACACCUGGAGCAGCUGCACCUGGAGGUGGGGCUCAUCUCCAGACCUGGAGCAGCUGCCUGCCCCAGGGCAGAAGCCACUGCCCGCAGCUAGGGAGCAUUGAGGAGGUCUCCCCAGGUCCGCGCGGGUUUUCUCCAGGUCCUCCAGUUUCCUCCCACAUCCCAAGUAUACACCUCAGCCUCACGGCAUGUCUACAUGGGCCUAGUCCGAGUGAGUGUGGGUGUCCCAUGGAGGCCUGUCCUAUCCAGGGCGGGUGCCCACCUUGGCACUGAGCCUCCAGGAUGGGCCCUGGUCACCUGCCACUCUGAACUGGAGAAAGCAAGUUGGAAAAUGAAUGAAUACAUGAAUAUAAAUUAUCAAAUAAAAAUUAUAAAGCCUACGGUAAUCACACAAACGCAUGACAACAAACGCCGCGUGUGAGGGUGCUCAAGGAGCCGCCAUACUCACGGUCGCUUGUCUUUCAGCUGUGCGGUGGGAGGAGGUGCUCCCAAGAGCGUGUGCUUUGCAGACAUUGAUUCCGUGAUUUCACCACCACCACUACCACCGCCGUCACUCACAGACAUCCCAAAUAUUGGGUAGAUCAUGAUCUCACUUGUUUGUAUUAAUCUUCCUUAUGUAGGUGUAGCUACCUCUACAUGUAGGGAUAGUUUACAUUUAUUUCAAUGUUUAAUAUUAGAAGUGUUUGGGUCUUUAGAAAUUUGGUGGUGUUUUUUGUUUUUUUGUGGGGUUUUUUUGGAAAUAGGGUUUUGUUCCGUCGCCCAGGCUGGAGUGUGGUGGUGUGAUCACAGCUCACCGCAACCUUAGCCUCUGAGGCUCAAGCAAUCCUCCCACCUCAGCCUCCUAAGUAGCUGGGACCACAGGCACACACCACCUUUCCUGGCUAAUUUGGGGGGCAUUUUUUGUAGAGAUGGGGUUUCAUCAUGUCGCCCAGGCUGGUUUUGAACUCCUUGCCUCAAGAGAUCUGCCACCUCAGCCUCCCGAAGUGCUGGGAUUACAGGUGUGAGCCACCACACCUGUUCUGGUGAUGUUUUGAGAGCAGAAAUAUGCCUCUUUUUUUUUUUUGAGACAGAGUUUCACACUUAUUGCCCAGGCUGGAGUGCGGUGGCGUGAUCUCGGCUCACUGCAACCUCCACCUCCCAGGUUCAAGCGAUUCUCCUGCCUCAGCCUCCCGAGUAGCUGGGAUUACAGGCAUGCACCACCACACCCAGCUACUUUUGUAUUUUUAGUAUUUCUCCAUGUUGGUCAGGCUGGUCUUGAACUCCCAACCUCAGGUGAUCUGCCCGCUUUGGCCUUCCAAAGUGCUGGGAUUACUGGUGUGAGCCACCGCACCCAGCCUAUGACAUAGGAAUUUAACUCUUGUUUAUAUCAACUAGCCUAUGGUAAAAUUGGUUUCAUUAUAUGUUGUCUUGCUUAAAGUCACAGUUUCCAGGAAGCUGUGAUGAAAUUGAGGACUUACUGUAUGCCAUUAUCUGUUUAAAAGAAAUGAUAAGUACCAACCCAUGGCCCCUGUUUCCAUGGGACCUAAGAUGAAAUGCCCAAGGUAAAGGCGAUGGCUUCCAUCUCCCAGUCCCCCGAGCCUGUCUGAGCUCCAAUACUGGUUCUCUGUCCUGUGCCGUACCCCUUGGGAGACACUGACUUUCUCCCCCCAAUCCAGUGGUCCCAAAUAAUCACCUCUGUAGUUGCAGAAGUGGAGAAGUGGACUGAGCCUUCACAUUGCCUGAAAGAUGGGGAACUCCGCCCUCUAGUGUCCGUCAGCACAGCAAGUGGGACACUUCCAUUUCCAAAGUGGAAAGACGGUGCCUUUAAAGAUGUAACCCCAACGGAGGUCAAGGUCUGAAAGGGGCACAUUCUUUCCAUGACUCUAGCCUGAUAAAGACACCCACAACCCUCCCGCCACUUGCAAGAUUUGAUCCGAAACCAGCUUCUAACAGCUGCCAAACUAAAAUGCCUUAGAGACAUGGGGUAACCAAAUUACAAACGCACGUUCCAUUUGAUGCAGCCAUGCCACCUCUAGAACUGUAUGCUGCAAAUACAGAGUCGCACAUGUGCAGUCACCUGUGCACAAGAUUACUGUUGCAGCUGUUGGUGUUAGUGAAAAACGGACACUCCCUAAAUGUGCACCGUAGAGAGUAGGUGUACCAGCCUCUGCUGCGUGGAACAGCCUGCAGUGGUUGAAAAAUGAGGAAAUCUGCACAUUCAUGUUCACAGCAGCGUCAUUCACAACAGCCAAGAGGUGGAAACAACCCAGGCGUCCACCAACAGGUCAACAGAUAAACACAAUGUGGUCUGUACAUGCAGUGAAAUAUUAUUCACCUUUAGAAAGGAAGGCGUUUUGACACAUGCUACCACAUGGAUGAACCUUGAAGACAAUAUGCUCAGUAAAACAAAGCAGUCACAGGCCGGGCGCAGUGGCUCACGCCUGUAAUCCGAGUUUGGGACCAGCCUGACCAACAUGGUGAAACCCUGUUUCUAUUAAAAAUACAAACAAAAAAAAAUUGCUGGGAGUGGUGGCACACACCUGUAAUCCCAGCUACUCGGGAGGCUGAGGCAGGAGAAUCACUUGAGCCCAGGAGUGCAAGUUGCAAUGAGCUGAGAUCGCACCACUGCACUCCAGCCUAGGCGAUAGAACAAGAUUCUGUCUCAAAAAAAAAAAAAAAAGACAGUCACAAAAGAACAAAUGAUUGCACUUGUUUGAGUUUCUUAGAGGAGUCAUAUGCAUAGAGACGGACAAUAGAAUGGUAGGUGUCAGGGGCUGAGGGAAGGAGAACAGGCAGUUAGUGUUUAACGGGGACAGAGUUUUGAUUUUGCAAGACAAAAAAGAGUUCUGGAGGUUGGUGGUAGUGAUGGUUGCACAACAAUGCAAAUGUACUUAAUAUCACUGAACUGUACACUUAUUAGUAAAAUGGUUAAAAUGGUGAAUUUUAUGUUACGUGUAUUUUACCAUUAAAAAAUGAAGAAAUUUCUUUGCUAUUGUGGCACACACACAAAAAGAAAUUCUUUGUUUUCGUAUCUCCUUCCUUCUAGAGAUAUGGAAAUAUCUCCAACUUAUUACAUAAAAAUAACAUGGAGAACAACGUAUGUAUGGUGUGCUAACAUUUAUGCCAAAACAGGAAAUACAUAUGCAAUUGCUUGUAACUACAUAAAAUAUCUCUAGGGCCCGCAUGAAACUGGUCACACUGGCUGCUCCUGGUGAGGUUGUAGGAGGCUGAGCACAGAGCCAGCAGGGGACUUUUUGGUUAUUUUUAUUUUGAACCAUGAGAAGGUAUUAAUCACACACACAGUAAGCGAAAUAAAAAUGCCAUUUUCGGAAAGAAUAAAGCCAUUUAUGGAAAGCCAUGAAUAUGGGUUGCCUGCAUACAGGCAGGUGUAAUGGUGGUACAGAUCACCAUUAUUCUGCUGGAAAUAAAACUGACCUAUAUGGACCCCAGGUGCAGACCUGUUAUGAACUGAAUAUUUAUCAAAAUUAAAAUGUUGAAACCCUAACCUCCUAUGGUGUUAGGAGGUGAGGACUCGGAGGUAAUAAGGUUAUGAGGAUGGGGCCCUAUAAUGAGGUUAGUGCCUUUAUAAGAAGAGAGAAGAGAGCUUGCUCACUCUCUCUCUCUCCUCACCGUCUGAGGAUACAAUGAGAAGGCAGCUGUCUGCAAACCAGGAAGAGAGACCUCACUAGGAACAGCACUGACCAGCAGCUUGAUCUUGAAUUUCCAGGCUCCAGAACUGUGAGAAAUCAAUUUCUGUUGUUUAAUCUGUGUAUCUGUGGCAUUUGUCACAGAAGUCUCAGCUGAGGGAGAUAAGACCUUAAGUCUUCUUAGGGGUUUAACUAUAUGGUCUGAUCAAUUACAGAUGCUGAUAAAACACAAACACCUUCCUUUUUAAAACUGAGAUUCACUUGCUAAAUUAUUUCCCUGUGAGAUCUUGUGACAACCAUUCAUGUGUGAUUACAUGGAAAGAACACGAAAGUGAGAGCCAAGCCGGGCAUAGUGGCUACGCCUGUAAUCCCAGCACUUUGGGAGGCUGAGGGGGGCGGAUCACCUGAGGUCAGGAGUUCGAGACCAGCCUGACCAAUAUGGUGAAACCGUGUCUCUACUAAAAACACAAAAAUUAGCUGGGCGUGGUGGUGCAUGCCUGUAAUCCCAGCUACUCAAGAGGUUGAGACAGGAGAAUUGCUUGAACCCAGGAGGCGGAGGUUGCAGUGAGCUGAGAUCUCGCCAUUGUACUCCAGCCUGGAUGACAGAGUGAGACUCCAUCUUAAAAAAAAAAAAAAGAAAAGAAAAAGAAAGAAAGAGAGAAAGAAAGAGCCAUCAGAACAUGAGACUCCCUGCGCUUUGGGCAGCCAGGGAGACGAGCGUCUGUCUCCCUGGGGAGGGAGAGUUUACAGCUUUCUGCAGACCAUGGCAGGGGGGUUAUGUUUCAUGUCAUGGACUCACAAAGUUGGGGGUUUCAGAAGGGACCCCAGGAAUCAACUAGUGCAACUCCCAUUCCACAGAUCAACAAACCAAGGCCCAGAUUGAGAAAGUGACCGUCUGAAGUGUCCUUAGGAUGGUUUUAGGAUGACAUCAUGCUCCAUGCCACAGCCCACCUGAUUUGGGCCAGGAGCCCCUCCCCAAACUCUGCCAGCCUCACCUGGCCCUGGACCCCCACCAAGUUCCGGGCACAGUGGUCUGCUCACUGCUCCUCCACAUAGAGCUCAUGCUCCAGCCGCCACCCCGCCCCUGCCGACCCCGGGCCUUCACUCACUCUCAACUCUACAUCUUUUCAGGGUCACACUCUCAACACCACAACCACAGCUGCUUCACCAUCUGGGCUGCUCAGGGCCUCCGAGUGCCACGCAUUCUCUCCACAGCUCUAAGCACUAUCUGAAAUUAGCUCACUUCUUUUCCUUUUUUUUGUCUUCUCUCUCCCCCUGAACCUGGGGCCCCCGAGGGCAGGGGCCUGGUCUCAUUUGCCCUGGUAACCCCAGUUCCUCAAGCAGCAUCUGGUUCAUAGGAGGUGCUCAAGAAAUACGCAAUGGAUGAGUAAACAAAAGACUGAGUGACUGGAAGCCCCAGAACCCGGGCCCGGCAGAGCGUCAUUCCAUAAAGCACCGGCCUUUACAAAAGCCCGGCUGUUCAUGGACUGCCAUGUGUGGUGCAUCUGGGUGCGGCUUCACUGCCCUGGUUGGUGGGCUGAUACUGAUUUUGGGGUUUUCUCCUAUAUCAUCAGAGCACAUCUCCCCUCUCACAGAGGAAGACAAAUUCUUCCUUGGGUCUGUAAGACUUUUCAGACUUUUUUUUCUUUUUUUGAAACAGAGUCUCACUCCGUCACUCAGGCUGGAGUGCAGUGGUGUGAUCUCAGCUCACUGCAACCUCAGCCUCCCGGGUUCAAAUGAUUCUCCUGCCUCAGCCUCCUGAGUGGCUGGAAUUACAGGUGUGUGCCACCAUACCUGGCUAAUUUUUGUAUUUUUAGUAGAGAUGGGGUUUCACUGUGUUGGCCAGACUGGUCUCAAAUUGCUGACCUCAGGUGAUCUGCCCACCUCAGCCUCCCAAAAUACUGGGAUUAUAGGCGUGAGCCACUGUGCCCUGCCUGUAAGACUUUGUAAUACUUAAUACUAAGUUAUGUGUGCCACCAGCAUGUACACAUAAUCAUUUUCUUCUCCUUUAAGUAAAAAAUGAGAAAGAACAGACACGUGGUACAGGGUCUGAGACAGAAAACCACUCUGGCCAGCAGCAGCAUCGAAGGCACAAAGCAACCUUUGGUUCUGCCAGGAGGCUGUUCCUCCGCCACUGAGAGAGCCCAUACCCGCAUCCCAGCGGCUCCAGACGCCAGCUUCUGCCAGCUCUCAGGAAUGUUUUGCUCCUGAUCCACUUCUGCGUCUACUUCCUGAUGCACUGGCUCCAGCCCAGCCGACAUGCACGGCAGCAGAGAGAUGGCUGUCACAUCGGCUGCUCAAGCAGUCAGGGGCCAAGUGGAAUCCUGGCACUGGGGAGAACGUUCACCACAGCGAUGGAGCUAGUCUGUGAUUCCGCUUGAAAAGCCACCUGCUAGGCGGUUUGUCUGCUCUCAGCCGGGCACCCUCACGCACCUGCAGUGGCGACAGGUGGGUCUUGUUGCUGUGGGCUGUCCCGAUGCAAUGGGCUGUAGCUGUCCCAAUGCACUGAACUCUGUGCUCCAGCGGGCUGGCCCAGACACAGUGCAGCAGCUGGCAGAGCUGAGAGAAGAAGUGUGCAGUCCCCUGGCAGCCUCAGCUCAGGGCUGGCCUACAGUCACGUCUGCCACACCACUGCUCAAAGCCACUCUCCUGGAUGUGCCACACUCAAACAGGAGAAACAGACGCCACCUCUUCAGAUGAAGAGCUGCAAAGUCAUCGAUUUAAAGAGCAGCAAACUCAUAUCCUCAUUUCUUUCUUUCUUUUUGAGACAGGGUCUUGCUCUGUUGCCCAGGCUGGACUAGAACUCCUGAGCUCAAGUAAUCCUCCUGUUCACAGACCAAACUGAAGGUAGACCACCUAUGCUCAUGUCCCAGUGACAAGAUGCAGAUGAACUAGGAGAGAAGGGAGUUUUUAUUUCUGUAACCAGUUACAGAGAGAAGGCCUGGAAAUUAUCACCAGACCAACUUAAAAUGACAGCGUUUUCCAGAGCUUCUAUACCUUCUCAGCUGUGUGUCUACGUGUGAGUGUGCAUCCAUCUAAAGACAUAAGUGAUUAACUUCUAAUCCAUAACUAAGAUCUGAGUCCAGAAGACCUUCCUCCGGAGCCUCAGUGAAUUUAAUUAACCUAGCUGGGUCCAGGUGCUGGGGUGAAAACCCGGAUCUGGCCUCCUGCUAAGUCAUGGAGGUUUGGGGAGUUCCUUUAGUCUCCAGUAAAGCCUGUUUGUGGAGGCCUGGGGAGUUUCUUCAGACCCCCAAUAAAAUUUGUUUAAUCCUAAAUGGGUCCUGUUAAGAAUUCCUUUGUUAUCUCUUCAUGCUUUAAAGCCCAGGAAAGGCCUGGGCAAAACUCUUGGUGGGCUUUUGUUACAUUCCAGCCUUUGUAUAAGGGCGCUGGCUCUUUCAGCUUUUAAUAUUUAACUUUACCACUUGGUCAGUACUGAAACAGUUGUUAUGGAGGCCUGUGUUAGUGAGACCUGGCCUGCCACACCCCCACCUCAGCCUUGCAAGUAGCUGGGACCGUAGGUGUGUAUGACCACAACCGGCUACGAAGUCCUAUUUCUAAGGUGCAUGGAAACAGUGAAGGGAAAAUUAAGGCUAUUUUCGCAAACAAAACAUUCAAACAGGCCGGGCGCGGUGGCUCACGCCUGUAAUCCCAGCACUUAGGAAGGCCGAGGCGGGUGGAUCAUGAGGUCAGGAGAUCGAGA